GAAGGUCUGUAGCGUCAGGAAAAUAUUUAGAGCUUAUUCUGUGUGAAAUCAUUAUUUAACUUAUGCCUGAUUUAACUUAAUAUUUAUGAGCAGUCUAGCCAUUAAAAACAUUGUUAUUUCCUUCCUCCUCCACCUUUCUGGCACAGACCAUCAGUUACCUGAUGAAACCGUGGAAGAAUGUGGAAGUAAUCCCACGGUGCUGAUCCCUUAAGGGCUCGGUGAAGAAUGGAAACAAGAUUUACAAAUUCUGCCAAGUAAAUUGUGUAUUUUCACGUCUCUAAGGUGAGCAUUUUGGUGGCUUAUAUGAGGAUCCAGAGAAGACCCCCAACGACUCCACGGCUGGUGAGCAAACAAGUGCAGUACUCAUUAGAGCCCAUCGAACUUGCUGCUUUUCUCAUCGACCCUGGAGUUUGAGGGUCCUCCUAGUUGUGCCAUGUGGGAUGCCACCUCAGUGUGGCCUGAUGAGCGGUGCCAUGUCUGUGCCCAGGAUCCGAACCGGUGAAACCCUGGGCUGCUAAAGCAGAGCACGCAAACUUAACCACUGGGCCACGGGGCCAGCCCCAACAAUAAGACCAUCAGUUACCUGAUGAAACCAUGGAAGAACGUGGAGAUAACCCCACAGUGCUUAUCCUUCAAAGGCUCAGUGAAGAAUGGAACCAAGAUUUACAAAUUCUACCAAAUAAAUUGUGUAUUUUCACAUCCUUAAGAUGACUCAAGGCAUUUUUGAAUGUAAUAGGAAAAAAUAACAUAAAAAACAAAGUAGUGGACAGAACCCAAAAACUCCUUUGCUACUGUAGAGGAGCAAAAUGAAGGAAGUGCUCUGAAGUGGUCUCUUCAGAAUCAUUCACUUGGAAUCUGACCUUCUGCUCUUACUUGUUUGACACUAGCACCAUUUCACAGAGGACCCAGGCAUCAUCUAAAACAUAUAUUGCCAAUGGUGCUACAGAAAAGGAUUCAUCAACUUCAUUUGCAAGCAUGGGACAUCUUUAGAAAAGAGAAACAUGAUGCAGCUUUUGUGAGAAACAUGUAGUAUUUUGAUUGCUGGUGCAUAUUGGAAGACUCUGAAAAACACCUAACAGCAUUGUCCUGCUUGCAUCCUCUUUUGGAGACAGACUAUGAAUGGGACGUGAGACUUCUAUAAGACAUAUCUAGUGGAACCCUGAGAGAUGGAUGAACUUGUGCCUCA
rnacentral:lncRNA from 1 species